AGGACGAACGCUGGCGGCGUGCUUAACACAUGCAAGUCGAGCGGUAAGGCCUUUCGGGGUACACGAGCGGCGAACGGGUGAGUAACACGUGGGUGAUCUGCCCUGCACUCUGGGAUAAGCCUGGGAAACUGGGUCUAAUACCGGAUAUGACCUGCUCUCGCAGUUGGGGGGUGGUAGGAAAGUAUUUUAGU
rnacentral:rRNA from 1 species